rnacentral:rRNA from 1 species
CCUACGGGUGGCAGCAGUGAGGAAUAUUGGUCAAUGGGCGCGAGCCUGAACCAGCCAAGUAGCGUGAAGGAUGACUGCCCUACGGGUUGUAAACUUCUUUUAUAAAGGGAUAAAGUGAGUCACGUGUGCCUUUUUGUAUGUACUUUAUGAAUAAGGAUCGGCUAACUCCGUGCCAGCAGCCGCGGUAAUACGGAGGAUCCGAGCGUUAUCCGGAUUUAUUGGGUUUAAAGGGAGCGUAGAUGGGUUGUUAAGUCAGCGGUGAAAGUCUGUGGCUCAACCAUGGAAUUGCCGUUGAAACUGGGAGGCUUGAGUACGUAUGAGGCAGGCGGAAUGCGUGGUGUAGCGGUGAAAUGCUUAGAUAUCACGCAGAACACCGAUUGCGAAGGCAGCCUGCUAAGCCAUGACUGACGCUGAUGCACGAAAGCGUGGGGAUCAAACAGGAUUAGAUACCCGUGUAGUC